UACAGAGGGUGCGAGCGUUGUCCGGAAUCACUGGGCGUAAAGGGCGCGUAGGUGGCGGCCCAAGUCCGUGGUGAAAGCUCGAUGCUCAACAUCGAGUCGGCCACGGAUACUGGGUUGCUCGAGCACUGUAGGGGCAGAUGGAAUUCCGGGUGUAGCGGUGGAAUGCGUAGAGAUCCGGAAGGACACCGGUGGCGAAGGCGGUCUGCUGGGCAGUUGCUGACACUGAGGCGCGACAGCGUGGGGAGCAAACAGG
rnacentral:rRNA from 1 species